GUUUUUUUUCCGCUGGUUUAGACCAAAAGAUUUUUCAUCUAAUGUCGCUAACGAAAAUCCUAGCUUUGCUCAUUUUCAGAAGGAGGAAGCGUUGACAGUUUCCCAUGUAGCAGAACCAAAAGGACAGCGUUGGAUUAUUGUUAUCCACUUUUCUCAGGACUUAAUUCCGUUUGAUGGAUUGCACCAGUGCAACAAAGGCCGACUUUUGCAAAAGUGGUCUGUCCAACACCGGUGUGUUCAGGAUCCAGCCAAGCAGCGGCUGUGCACACUUUCACACAGCGACACGCUAUCCUGUAAUCUGUCGAUGACAUCAUCGCCAGCUCCGGGUGUGUCCAAAGUUGCUUUCAAGUGUGCCGUUUAAACUUCCCUUGUCCCACCACUAUCCAGACUCAACGUCACCCCAAAACUACCAGCAGUUAAAAUUGUCCAAAAUAUUUCUGUUAAACUGUCAAAUUAAUUGAGCUCCCGAUUGCUCGAUUGUUUAUGAGCUGUGUCCCAAAGCAUGGCUGAAACUCCUGAGCAAUAUUCCCUGAGGACCAAUUAAUGAUACUUUUUUUUUUUCCACUCGCUGCCAGUAAAUCAUUCUAUUAGAAACAACAGAGGCAGUUUCAUUUCUCUUACAGUAAGUACUCCAAAAGUUCAUUAAGCAUGCAUGCAGCUAACAGGGGCGGGUCUAGGAUAAAGUGGGAGGGGCCAGGUGGAUCAAACCAUUUGCUAAGCAAAAGGGGGUGUACUCUAUUAUUGUUGUCAAUAUAUUACAUUUCAACGAACACACGGUAAAAACGAAUUUUCGGGGAAGCAACACCCCAAAAAAUGAGCGAGACUUGCCCAUGUUUCUAUGUAUGAUUGUUUCCUGCAUUGCUGAGUGUCGUUUUGUCCUUGAUGACAGGAAGUUGUUUAGCUCAACCUGCCUCUGAUUAACCUGCCCACUGAAGUCCGAGACCUCCGUGUUAAUGAGGGACGGAGAAUGGAAGAAUGUGUGGGCGGGUGAUAACAGGUUCUAUUUUCAGAGUUACUCACCUCCCGCAAUGGCGAGCAGCGCCAGGAGCAACAUCAGCAGCCAGCCUUCCUCCAUCAUCCUCAUCCUCCUCAUCGUCACCCUUCCGAGCCCGAAAGGUGUUC